CCUACACAAUGGAAGGAGUGACUAUCAAGUAGGGAAGGAGACAGAGAGGGGAUAGAUUUCCACCGCAAAUAAGCGCAACUUCAUUUGGAAGCCACGCCUAGGUGCCAAAAAGCAAAUCACAGCUCGUAUUGGCACCAAGAAUUGGACAGAAAUGGCCAUUGAGAGCUACACUGCCUCCAAUGGAUAACGCGUCUGACUACAGAUCAGAAGAUUCCAGAACAGCCCAACAGCAGGGCCAGUGGCGCAAUGGAUAACGCGUCUGACUACGGAUCAGAAGACUCCAG